AUACGGAGGGUGCGAGCGUUAUCCGGAUUUAUUAGGUUUAAAGGGUGUGUAGGCGGGAGCCUAAGUCAGUGGUGAAAUCUCACAGCUUAACUGUGAAACUGCCAUUGAAACUGGGUUUCUUGAGUAUAGUUGAGGUAGGCGGAAUGUGUAAUGUAGCGGUGAAAUGCAUAGAUAUUACACAGAACACCGAUUGCGAAGGCAGCUUACUAAGCUAUUACUGACGCUGAUGCACGAAAGCGUGGGUAGCGAACAGGAUUAGAUACCCGGGUAGUCC
rnacentral:rRNA from 1 species